rnacentral:rRNA from 1 species
AACGUAGGUUCCGAGCGUUAUCCGGAUUUACUGGGCGUAAAGCGCGUUCAGGCGGUUUGGCAAGUCGGGCAUGAAAUCUCUCGGCUCAACCGGGAGAGGUUGUCCGAUACUGCUGGACUUGAGGGCAGUAGAGGGUGGUGGAAUUCCGGGUGUAGUGGUGAAAUGCGUAGAGAUGUGGAGGAACACCGAUGGCGAAGGCAGCCCCCUGGGUCAAGAUUGACGCUCAUGCACGAAAGCGUGGGGAGCAAACAGG